UACAGAGGGUGCGAGCGUUGUCCGGAAUCACUGGGCGUAAAGGGCGCGUAGGCGGCUUGAUAAGCGUGCGGUGAAAGCCCGGGGCUCAACCCCGGGUCGGCCGUGCGAACUGUCGAGCUGGAGCACUGUAGAGGCAGGUGGAAUUCCGGGUGUAGCGGUGGAAUGCGUAGAGAUCCGGAAGAACACCCGUGGCGAAAGCGGCUCUCUGGAACGGUACUGACGCUGAGACGCGAAAGCGUGGGGAGUGAACAGG
rnacentral:rRNA from 1 species